rnacentral:rRNA from 1 species
CCUACGGGCGGCAGCAGUGAGGAAUAUUGGUCAAUGGGCUUACGCCUGAACCAGCCAAGUCGCGUGAGGGAAGACUGCCCUAUGGGUUGUAAACCUCUUUUGUCAGGGAGCAAUUGGCGCUACGUGUAGCGUUAUCUAGAGUACCUGAAGAAAAAGCAUCGGCUAACUCCGUGCCAGCAGCCGCGGUAAUACGGAGGAUGCGAGCGUUAUCCGGAUUUAUUGGGUUUAAAGGGAGCGUAGGUGGAUUGUUAAGUCAGUUGUGAAAGUUUGCGGCUCAACCGUAAAAUUGCAGUUGAAACUGGCAGUCUUGAGUACAGUAGAGGUGGGCGGAAUUCGUGGUGUAGCGGUGAAAUGAUUAGAUAUCACGAAGAACUCCGAUUGCGAAGGCAGUUCACUGGACUGCAACUGACACUGAGGCUCGAAAGUGUGGGUAUCAAACAGGAUUAGAUACCCCUGUAGUC